AGUGAACGCUGGCGGUAGGCCUAACACAUGCAAGUCGAACGGCAGCACAGUAAGAGCUUGCUCUUACGGGUGGCGAGUGGCGGACGGGUGAGGAAUACAUCGGAAUCUACUUUUUCGUGGGGGAUAACGUAGGGAAACUUACGCUAAUACCGCAUACGACCUACGGGUGAAAGCAGGGGAUCUUCGGACCUUGCGCGAUUGAAUGAGCCGAUGUCGGAUUAGCUAGUUGGCGGGGUAAAGGCCCACCAAGGCGACGAUCCGUAGCUGGUCUGAGAGGAUGAUCAGCCACACUGGAACUGAGACACGGUCCAGACUCCUACGGGAGGCAGCAGUGGGGAAUAUUGGGCAAUGGGGGCAAGCCUGAUCCAGCCAUACCGCGUGGGUGAAGAAGGCCUUCGGGUUGUAAAGCCCUUUUGUUGGGAAAGAAAAGCAGCAGGUUAAUACCCCGCUGUUCUGACGGUACCCAAAGAAUAAGCACCGGCUAACUUCGUG
rnacentral:rRNA from 1 species